rnacentral:rRNA from 1 species
AUGGCUGAAGCCGCUUACAACCACUUCUCUGAUGUGCUCGGAAGUGCCACGGAGCGUGACAUCACACUUGAUCUCCGCGCUUUGUGCGUCCCGCAGUUUGACUUACACGAGCUUGAGCCGCCAUUCUCUGAGGACGAGAUUUGGAAUGCAAUUAAGAGCUUACCUAUCGGCAAGGCGCCCGGCCCCGACGGAUUCACCUCUGAAUUCCUUGUUGUAUGUUGGGACACGAUCAAGAACGACUUCUGCGAGGCAUUCGGCAAGCUCUAUACCAUGAAUGGAAGGGGCAUCCAAAAGCUCAAGGAAGCCCUCCUCACCUUGCUCCCAAAGCGAGCGGAUGCACAAACGCUCUUUGACUACCGGCCCAUCAGCCUCAUUCACAUCUUCUCUAAGCUUGUCGCGAAGGUACUAUCCCUUCGACUGGCGCCACGAUUGGGCCCGAUGGUGUCCACCAAUCAAAGCGCGUUCAUUGCGGGGUGUUGCAUCCAUGAUAACUUCCUGUUGGUGCAACAAACUGCUCCUCUGCUUCACAACCUCAAGACGCCACACAUGCUCCUCAAGCUCUAUAUUGCACGGGCCUUCGACAGCGUCUCCUGUCCAUUCCUCUUGCAGAUACUGCAACAUCUUAGCUUCGGUCCCCGAUGGCGGGAGUGGAUCUCCAUACUCCUCUCGACUGCUUCCACGUGA